UGGGCAGAACUCUCUUUCCUCUCCUGUUUCCUUUUUUGGGUUGUAAUGCUCUAUUUCUCUCUGGAUAUAUUGUUUGGAGACCAUCAGGCAUGUGUUUGAUGCGUGACGCAAAUGUCAUAUGGUGUUGUUAACGUCACACAGUUGACAAAAGAAGACGAGGAAAAGGAUCCCAGCAGAUGGUUUGGUAUUACAUUUCAUACUACACACAGUCCAUUCCUGACGGCCCAAAGCAAACAGCAGUCACUCUGUCAGUGAAAAAGAUGCAAGUUUUUCUCUUGUCUCAAGUGAGAAUUCCCCAUAUGGCUAUUUUACAGUCCUUACUCACUUCUCAGGAAAUUUGCUUUUUCUUGGUUCUCUUUUUUUCUCCUCAAACAUACUGAUGGUCCCAAGGCUUAGGGACAAUAAUUGUUGCUCCUUUUCAACAUAAAGGUCAGGAUCCUUUGUUACAAAGCAGGUUUUGUGGCCCAGAGAAAGCUGGGCAGACAUGAUCUCUGCUAAAGAGCAGAGGAAAAUAAUUCGCUCCCUGGUUGUCACGUUUGGCCAAUUUGAGUGAGAAAAGGGGGCUUGUGGGUGUAAGAGCAUAUGAAACCACACAAUUAUGGUCUCUCACUUUUCUUUUUAUAGGCAGGCAAAAGAGACCCCAAUAUGUCAGACAGCGCUGGACCUUGAAGGGAAGGGUAAAACAGGUUAGGAAAAGUGUAAAGCAAUCCUGUCCCUCCAUUCCUAGGACCAAAGACUUGAUGAUCAAAACAGACCCUGCCAGGAAAUGUUACAAAAAUAAAAGGCGCCUGCGCGAGCACACACGUGACUUCCCUCGGGUAUGAGGAACUCCUUAUCGCGUUCUUCCUUCGGACAGCUGCCUCCUGGUCGAGUCUUGGAUAUUGAAUACAGUUCCCUGUGCUAUAUGGAAGGAGGGUCCGCCUGCCAGGACAGCACCUGAGGACGGUGGGGAGUGGGGUAGCUUCUGCAGAUGUGCGCCCACAGGGCUAGCUGAGGAGAUGCCUCCCCGGAGACAGCAGGGAUGGAGAGCUGCAGAGACAAAGCCACCACCUGGCAGCUGGGAGGCAGCUGGCCGCGCAUGCUCUGGCUUCAGUGGGAGUGACAAGGCUUGAGGAAAUGUUGGCUGAAGGAAGCAAACAGAACCCCACAGAGCCCUACAAGACCAAGUCCCCGACUUUCCCUUUGCACUUCUCUGUGCCGGGGUCUGAGUCUUAACAGGGAUGAACAGGGCCCAGCUGGAGGAACGAAAUGCACCCUGCGACCCUGGAAGAUGGAAACUAGCAUAAACCAAGGGCUUUACCCCAGCGGGAGAGUCUAGGGUAAGAUGACUUUCUUUACUCGGAACCAGAUGAUUUAGCACAACGACAAAAGAGAAGUCUCCUUUUCCUUCUGAAAAGAACCGAAUACAUAAGAAAAAAAACACCUACUGUGGAAUUCUGUCAAAUAAUGGCAGAUGUCCCUGUUAUGUUGGCACCUGCCUUGCAAGAGCUCACUGUAACGAUCAAAAGGCAAGG